GCCCUCCUCCUGGGAUAGCUCAGUCGGUAGAGCAUGAAAUUUUUAAUCUCAGGGUUGUGGGUUCAAGUCUCACAUUGGGCA